UAAUUUCAAACUUACAAAAAGUUGUAAAAAUAAAAACAACCCAAAGAAUACCUGUACAUCCUUUAACUAGAUUAUUAACAUUUUACUCCAUUUGCUAUAUCAUAAUUUACUCUCCCUCAACACAUAUGCAUACGCAAAUUUUUUUCUGAGCCAUUUGAGGAUAAGUUACGUAUAUUAUGACCCUUUACCAAUAACACUUCAUUGUAUAUUUCCUAAAUAUUUCUCUUACAUAACCACAGUACAGAUAGAAACUUCAUAAAUUUGCACUGAUACAAUACUUGUAUCUAAACUACUGUUCACGUUUCAGUGUUGUCAGUUGACCAGAUAAUGGUCUUUUUUUUUUUAAGAUUUUAUUUUUCCUUUUUCUCCCCAAAGCCCCCCUGUACAUAGUUGUGUAUUUCUAGUUGUGGGUCCUUCUAGUUGUGGCAUGUGAGAUGCCGCCUCAGCAUGGCCUGACGAGUGGUGCCAUGUCCGCGCCCAGGAACCAAACCAGUGAAACCCUGGGCCGCCGAAGCGCAGCACGCGAACCCAACCACUCGGCCACAGGACCAACCCCCAGAUACUGGUCUUAAUGACAUCUUCCUCCAGUAUAGGAUCUGGGCGAGGGGCAGGUGUUGUAUUUGAUUGUCAUGUCUCUUUAGCCUCCUUUAAUCUGGGACAUUUCCACAGCUUUCUCUGUCUUUUAUGACAUUGACAUUUUUGAAGACUACAGCCCUCAUCUUUUUUAAAAAAAAAUAACUGUUUUAUUGAUAUAACUCAUAUACCAUAUAGUACAUCCACAUAAAAGUGCACAAUUCAAUGAUUUUUAAUACAUUUACUGGCUGCAAAACCAUCAUGACAUCAAUUUUAGAACAUUUCCAUCACCCCAAAGACACGAUGUACCCUUUAGCAGUCACUCCCCAUUUCCUCCCAUGCUCUCCAGCCCUUGACAACCGGUAAUUUUGGGUUCUGUUUCUAUGGAUUUGCCUAUUCUGGACAUUUCAUAAAAUCAGAAUCAUAUGAUAUAUGGUCUUUUGUGACUGGCUUCUUUCACUUAGCAGAAUGUUUUCAAGGUUCAUCCAUGUUGUAGCAUGCAUCAGGACUACAUUCCUUUUCAUGGCCAAAUAAUACUCCAUUGUGUGGAUAGAUCACAUUUUGUCUAGCCAUUGAUCAGGUGAUGGACAUUUGUUUCCUCCCUUUGGCUAUCAUGAUUACUGCUCCUGUGAGCUUUUGUGUACACAAAAGUUUUUGUGAGGACAUACACUUUCAUUUCUCUUGGAGUAGCGCUGGGGGGGUCAUAUGGUAACUGUUAACCUUUUGAGGAGCUACCAGACUUUUCCGAAGUGGCUGCACUAUUUUACAUCCCUACCAGCAGUGUAUGAGGGUUACAAUCUCUUCACAUCCUCACCAACACUUCCUAUUAUCUGUCUCUUUGAUUAUAGCUAUCCUAGUGGGUGUGACAUGGUGUCUCAUUGUGGUUUUGAUUUGCAUUUUCCUGAUGGCUAAUGAUGGCAAGCAUCUUUUUCAUAUGCUUAUUGGCCAUUUGUUUUCUUCUUUAGAAAAAUAUUCAGAUCCUUUGCUCAUUUUUUAAUUGAGUUAUUUGUCCUUUUGUUAUUGAGUUGUAAGAGUUCUAGCUACAAGUCAGAUAUAUGAUUUGCAAAAUUUUCUUCCCAGGGGUCACCCCCGUGGCUGAGUGGUUAAGUUCGCAUGCUCUGUUUUGGCGGCUUGUGGUUCGCUGGUUCAGAUCCUGGGUGUGGACCUACACACCACACUGCUCAUGAAGCCAUGCUGUGGCAGCACCCCACAUAGAAGAACUAGAAUGACUUACAACUAGGAUAUACAACUAUGUACUGGGGCUUUGGAGGAAGAUUGUCAUCUUCCUCUAGGACAUGUUAGCUCAGGGCCAAUCUUCCUCACCAAAAAAAAUAAAUAAAUAAAACCCCAUUCUAUGAGUUGCUUUUUGAUUUUCUUCACGGUGCCCUUUGAAACACAAAUGUUUUUUAGUUUCUUUGGUGUGCAAGUUUUUCAACUCCCCUCCCUUUUUAAAAAUAGAGUACUCCUCGUUUUGUUUUUUAACUGAAGUUUCUUUGUAGUGAGAUUGAGGUUAUGCAUUCUUGGCCUGAGUACUGUCUAGGUGAUGUUCUCCUCAGGGUAUCUAGAGCCACAUGAUGUCAAUCUGUCCUUUGGUGGAGAUGAUAAUUUUGAUCAUCUGAUCAAGGCAUUGCCUGAUUUCUCUACUGUAGAACUACGGGAUUUUUUCUCUCCCAUUUAUGAUUUUUAAAAAGAUGAAUUUCUCUUUUCAGGCUGUCUACUCUCCAUCAGCAUGUUUCACCUUGAGUUCUGUGCUUUCCCAGGCACAUGCUGCACGGUGGUCAGAUCCACCUUGGCCAGGCCUGUGUCCUCACGUCUCUUCAGGGACUUUGUCCCACUGAGUAUGAGGGCUCGUGCAAAUUCCUCACUGUAUCCUUUUGGGCCCCGAGUUCACACCCUGCCCUAGAGAGUGUCUUCGUUGGCUUUGUUUGCCUAUAACGCUGAGUCCUGCCUCCCUGGAGUCAGAGGUUGGACUUUUCCAUGCUGGAGACAUCCAACUUGAGAUAAACAUGUCUAGAGAAUGUGUGAUUCUGGGCUCAGCAGGAAGUAUUGCCAUCCUCACACAUCAUGGCUGAGGACUGGAAACAAGGACAGAUGAAGGGGUGGCAGAUCUCUGUGCGAGUGCUGUUCCUGACCUGAGAGAAACCAUCUUUGGAGAUUGGAAAAGUGCCUUUCACCCUUGCCAGCUCAAGAGGGUAGAGGUUUUCAUAUAGUCUUUCAUUCCUGCUUUAAACUGUAACUCUUCUGUUCCUACAACACAUCCCACUAGAAAGCCUAUAACUAAAGGACUUUAUGUCUCAGUGAAAUGGGAGAAGCCAGCAGAGUGUGAACCCAUUUAAAAAAUGUAUCUUGGAUUUAACUUCUCAGGUCUCAAGAAGUGGGAGACAAUAAUAAUGAUGAUACUGGUUAACAUUUAUUGAGGCUUUGCUACAUGCCAGGCAGUGUUCCACGAUUUUUCGACAUGUGAACUCAUUUGAUUCUCACAACAACCCUAUCCAGUAGAUACUAUCAUUAUCUUAUUAGAAGAGGAAACUGAGGCACAGAGAGGUUAAUUAACUUGUGCCAGGUCACACAGCUAUUUAGUGGCAGUUCUAGGAUACAAAUCCAGAUACUGCAGAGGACAUAAUGGAAGUCUUGGAGAAAAUGAGCACUAUGAAACAUAAAUCUCAGAGAAAUCCUUCACUAAGAUAAACAGAGAGAAUGCAUUCUUAGAAAAGUACAUUAGGAAUAGAGAAGGGGGAUAUUGGGUAAGUGAUGCUGCUUGAGUCAUCUCAGUUCCUCAUUGGAAGCCCUGAGUAAGGGUUUACCAAGCCUCUUAUAGUUGCACCCACAUCACCCACAACUCCAGCUUUGGUACCUGAUGUGGCUGCUGGAAGCUGCCUUCCUCAAGCCAAGUCACCUGGAUCUAACAUAGGGUUCCGGGCACCUAUUCUUGCUUUACCACCAUUAGCAUUUUGCUCUAUUUCCACAGUUUUCUAUGAUGGCCAGUUUGUGGUCACGCACAGUGAGUUACCCACAAGGCUGCAGAGUUCUGAGCACAGCAGGCCCGGCCAGGACUCACCGUGAGCUCACAGUCUUUACCGCCACAGUCUUCUGCUGGCCAUGGUCACGUCAGCCACACAUUGCUGUGUCUGUCCUCCCUGGGGCAUCGGUUCCAUUUCCUGUUCAGCAACUAUUAAUUGUUUUUUAGCCACAAAAUGUGUAUAACAAGGCAAAGCCAGCACCAAAUCUCAGAUUUGAGGUAGGUUUGUAUUUCUACCUUUUGUGCUGUGUAGGGGAAAGACAGAAAACUCCGAACUGUACCUCAAAGUUAUCCUUCAGUCCUAGAAUAGAAUAUAGGAUCAGCGGAUGGUCCAAGUCAGGGGCGUGUGGCAGCCCCUGGAACUACAGGUGGUGAAAAUUACACAAGAUUACAAUUUGAGGGUGAUUUUCUCCCCUCAUCCUUUCAGCUCCUUUUUCCUCCUGUCUCAGCCAUCUGUAUCCAGCCUAGCAUAGUGCCUAG
rnacentral:lncRNA from 1 species